GUUAAUGUAGUAAAACCUGGUAUUACAAAAGACCUAAACUCUUUCCACAGGGGUUCAAAUCCCCUCACUAACU
rnacentral:tRNA from 1 species